CCCGCGCGGCGGGCAUUGUCCUUCGCAAAAUGGCCGCCGGGUCGCCCUCAGAGCCCCGCACCGCGCCUCACUCCACACCCUUCCCGAACGCACCUUCCCCUGGCCAUCCCCGGCAUCCUUGGCCCCCUCAAAUCUUAAAUCUCCUCAAAGCUCCUCAAAGCUGCCGGGCCGCCUGCCACAGCCCCCUCAGUGCCUCGUCAGUGCCUCACAUGGGGUUCUCCACACACACCUCCCCGCGACCACCCCCAGCCCGACUGAACGGGCUGCCCGGGGCGGUGGUGCAGUCCCUGUCCCUGGAGGUAUUUGGGGGAAGCGUGGACGUGGCACUCAGUGCUAUGCUCUGGCUGACAAGGUGGUGUUGGGGCACAGGUUGGACUCCCUGAGUUCAGAGGCCUUUUGCAACCUCAUUGGUCCUGUGGUUCUGUGAUGACCCUUGUCUGUGGGUCAUCAAAUCUCUCCCUCCUGCUUGUGUACCUCGCUGUGUUAUGGAGGACGCUGAUGGUGUGGCAGCCCCCUGAGACCGUGGGCUGUCCCUGUGAAGGGGGUUGUUCUGGGAGAGAUGCCGUGUCCGUGAGGGAACCGAGCUCCUGCAGCACCCCAACAAAUACACUACAUAAAUUACGCUACAUAAAUCAGAGGAUAUACCACCAAUGAUGUGAUUUCUUAAAGUUCAUUCCGAUGGAAGGGAGGAGGCAAUUCUCAGUAACUUCAGAGACCUCACAGGUUCACACAAAACAGUUCCUGUGUCUUUUUUCAUCAGCAUUACGCCUGCCACCAUAAUAUGCCAAAUGCUUCUCUAUAUCACGCAGAUGGAAAAGAAACACCACAAAAAUGAUCCCUGUCAAUCCCUCAGGGAUAGAUUUUCCAGGUGGACAUCAUUCCACAGCAGUGCUGCUCUGUGUGGGAACAUGCUGGGUUGUGACACCGAGGUGGCCGUGUGGUCACACACCCCCUGCUCCUGGCAGGACAAAACUUCCUGUACCAUUUCAGAGAUGUUCCUUGUCCAGAGUAAACUGCUCACGUAGUGAAAUGUCGACUGAAGAGAAACUUCACUUACUGGCAGAGCUGCAGAUUUGCUUUUCCCUGUCAGUUCUGGUCCCUCUCCUCUGCCUUUGUCAUGUUACUUCACAUUCCAGCUCCUCCCUUCUGAGCACAGAUUGCAUUUUUACUGCAAUUUUCUGGAAAUUGCAGAAGAGUAACACCCACUGGGCAGAGGAAGUUGAAACCAAACCUUUAUCUGAGUCCACGGUUGAGAAAAUGGCACAGCCACGGUCCUACCUGAGGCCCAGGCAGCCACCUGAGCUUCCACAAAACGUGGGCAAUUUACCAUCCGUUGCAGUCCAAAAUUUAGCCUGAAAUUUCAUAGAACCUUUUAGUUUUAGUAUUUUACUCCUCCUGAAGGGUCUUUAUGAGUCAGUUCCGAAAAAGUCCCAGGCACUGAAAUGUUCAGUUUGGCCCGAGAAGGCAACAGAUGUUGUUUCAAAUUGUGACUGCGACUCAAACAGAUCCUCCUUUGAGCUCUGCUUUCCACACCUACCUGUGUCAAUUUACUUGAUUUAUCAUCAAAAGAUCAAUCAGUUGAUCCUGCCUGUUUUCUCUGUGUUGAAUUACUCAUGGUAUUAUUUUUCUAUUUGUUUAAGGUAAUGGGAAGUGAGAAGCACCCGUGGCUGGAGAAGACCAUGUGCUUUUACCCAAAUCCCCCUUCAUGUGUGACGGUGCCUCAGGCUCCUGUGAUCUCCCUUCUCCUUUCAUUUGAGCUCUGAAAAACAAUGGGCAACGUGGUUUGGGCCUUCUCAAGUCCAUCACCACCAUUAAGAAGCAGAACUACUACCUGUACUCCAAAGCCUUUUUGAGCAAUGUGAAGUUCCACUGACACAGACACUCCCAGUUUUGCUUACUUACAUGGACUGGAGAGGCACAGAAGCCUCCUUGGGAGGUGAACAGGAAGGCUUCCCUUCUAGAUACAUGCAGAGCUCCAGCCAGUGUUCAAGAGGACUGAAAAAUGUCAAGAUUUCAUACUAAAACUCACCUUUCCCAAGAUGAUUUCCCCAGGAAUCAUCCAUUUAAGAACAACAGAUGCUGCGGAUAUGAAAAGCCACUGACACUUUUAGGGAGUGAGCAAAGUGGACUCUGUGUGCCAAGAGACAGCAGGAGAAGAUCAAAGAGUUCCAGCUUUCAGUGUCUCUUUACACAGAUGGAUCUGGGAGCAGCAGAGGACACUGUCCCACUCCUAGACCCACCUCCUACAUGGUGGCUCCCUACACAGUGUUACAUGGAUGUUCUGAAGAUGUUCUGCCACUCACAAGAAACUGCUGCAGUUAUAAAAGCAGCACCUUAGCCUUGAGGAACAGUGGCAGGAGGCCUCGUACUCCUGGGUUUUCAGACAUGCCGUUUUGAUUUGCUUCUAGAGCCUUUUAGUGAUGCGUGGAAUGGUAUUUUGGAUCUAGGAAUGCCCACUAACAUCCUCAGAAAGUCUGCGGCACAGAGCAGCACCGUUGUGUAAGACAAUAGGUGAUUUUGACUUUGUACAGCAGAGAUUCAAAUACAGGCACAUCCUCAAAUAACAAAACACAGACCCUUACCCACAAUAAACAAUGAGGGAUUUUAAACUGAUGAGUCUUCAGUUUCUCAAGCAGCUUUCUGAGCAUUUAAAUUGUUCUACCUGCAAAAAUUCAUUCCUUCUGACCUGAACAGACACCACUUCCUUUUCUCAGCAUGACUGGUGACAUGACAUGCUCCUCCCAGAGAUAACUGCUGGCUUUAUUUUUAUUGGAAAUGAUGGAUGCAGCAGCUGAUAAGUAAAAAAGGGCAAUUUAGCCAUGGA